UUAACCGAUUUGCAUUUCAUUAUUUUGUCAUUUGAUCUGUUUUACUUAAUUAUCUCGUGUUUCUUAUUUUGUACUUUACAUAAGAAAUUUUUAUCAUCAGCCAGUUAGAAAUAACAGAUGAAAAAUUAUGGCUCCGUUUCGUACUCAGUUGUAUUUAUGACUUAACAGAUAUUAAUUUUUUGUAACCUAUUGUUGAAGAAAAAAAAUAAAAUCUCUACA
rnacentral:lncRNA from 1 species